rnacentral:rRNA from 1 species
GACGAACGCUGGCGGCGUGCCUAAUACAUGCAAGUCGAGCGGACGGAUGGGAGCUUGCUCCCAGACCGUCAGCGGCGGACGGGUGAGUAACACGUGGGCAACCUGCCUGUAAGACUGGGAUAACUCUGGGAAACCGGGGCUAAUACCGGAUAAAUCUUUCCCUCACAUGAGGGAAAGCUGAAAGAUGGCAUCUCGCUAUCACUCACAGAUGGGCCCGCGGCGCAUUAGCUAGUUGGUGAGGUAACGGCUCACCAAGGCGACGUUGCGUAGCCGAACGGAGGGGCGGGUCGGCCACCCUGGAAGGGAGACACGGACCAUGCGCCUACGGGAGGCAGCAGUAGGGAAUCGGACGCAAUAGACGAAAAUCUGGCGGAGCGAGGCCGCGUGAGAGAUGAAGGUGUUCGGUUCGUGAAGCUCUGUUGUCAGGGAAGAACAAGUACCGGAUGAACUGACGGUAGAGUGACGGUACCUGAUAAGAAAGCAACGGCUAACUACGUG